rnacentral:tRNA from 1 species
UCCCUGAUAACUCAGUUGGUAAAGAAUCUGCCUGCAAUGCAGGAGACCCUGGUUUGAUUCCUGGAUUGGGAA